AGGCAGCAGUGGGGAAUCUUGCGCAAUGGACGAAAGUCUGGCGCAGCCACGCCGCGUGAGUGAAGAAGGCCUUCGGGUUGUAAAGCUCUGUCACCUGGGACGAAAACACUGACGGUUAAUAGCCGUCGGAAUUGACGGUACCAGGGGAGGAAGCACCAGCUAACUUCGUGCCAGCAGCCGCGGUAAUACGAAGGGUGCAAGCGUUGCUCGGAAUUAUUGGGCGUAAAGGGUUGGUAGGUGGUCUUGUUUGUCUAAGGUGAAAUCCCAGGGCUUAACCCUGGAAGUGCCUUAGAAACGGCAAGACUAGAGUCCUAGAGGGGUUUGUGGAAUUCCCGGUGUAGCGGUGAAAUGCGUAGAGAUCGGGAGGAACACCAGCGGCGAAGGCGGCAAACUGGAUAGGCACUGACACUCAACAACGAAAGCGUGGGGAGCAAACAGGAUUAGAUACCCUGGUAG
rnacentral:rRNA from 1 species